AGAAGCGGCUCCGUGCUGCCCAGCGAUGGCGCCCUGGCGGCGCGGAAGCCCGCGGCCAAAUGACACGACUUGGGGGCAAAGGAGGACAACAGUUCCCACCAGGACAAAAAAUAAUAUCCAAAGAUAUUUUGGCACUAACGGCGCUAUCUGUAGCAAGAAAGUUGAGCAGUGUGAACUGUUGAGACUUCCAAGGAGACUUCAGACAACCAAGACAGUGUAAAGGAAAACAGAGAAAAAGACUUGUUAGACAUUAUUAAGGGCACGAAAGUUGAAUUGAGCACAGUAAAUGUACAAACAACAAAGCCACCCAACAGAAGUUCACUUAAAAGCUACAACUGGCGGGCCUCAAAGAGCUUUAGGACAUGCUCCAAAGAAGAGAAAUGAGCCCCUGAGUCCUGAGUUGGUGGCAGCUGCAUCUGCUGCUCUGUUUUGACAAGCAAACAAGCCAGAACUGCUCAGGCAGCUCCGUAGCAUGAGGAAGAGUCAGGGGCACAGAGAGAUGGAGAGAGACCUAGUUAGACACAUCACCUUCACUUUGGGAUAUGGAAUUUGAUAAGCAGUUAGCCACAGAAUAUGAACAACC
rnacentral:lncRNA from 1 species